rnacentral:rRNA from 1 species
AAUCAACGCUGGCGGCAUGCCUAACACAUGCAAGUCGAGCGAGAAAGUGUAGCAAUACAUGAGUAAAGCGGCGCACGGGUGAGUAACACGUGGAUAACCUGCCUCAAAGUGGGGAAUAACACCGGGAAACCGGUGCUAAUACCGCAUAUUCUGAUGAAGUCUGCGGAUUUUGUCAGUAAAGGAGCAAUUCGCUAUGAGAGGGGUCCGCGGCUGAUUAGCUAGUUGGUGAGGUAAUGGCUCACCAAGGCAACGAUCAGUAGCCGGUCUGAGAGGACGGUCGGCCACACUGGAACUGAGACACGGUCCAGACUCCUACGGAGGCAGCAGUGGGGAAUUUUUCGCAAUGGGGGCAACCCUGACGAAGCAAUGCCGCGUGGAUGAUGAAGUAUUUCGGUACGUAAAUCCUUUCGACGGGACGAAACCGCAAGGUUGACGGUACCCGUAGAAGAGCCCGGCUAACUCCGUGCCAGCCGCCGCGGU